rnacentral:rRNA from 1 species
GGCCCAGACUCCUACGGGAGGCAGCAGUGGGGGAUAUUGCACAAUGGGGGAAACCCUGAUGCAGCGACGCCGCGUGGGCGAAGAAGUAUUUCGGUAUGUAAAGCCCUAUCAGCAGGGAAGAAGAAAUGACGGUACCUGAGUAAGAAGCACCGGCUAAAUACGUGCCAGCAGCCGCGGUAAUACGUAUGGUGCAAGCGUUAUCCGGAUUUACUGGGUGUAAAGGGAGCGCAGGCGGCACGGCAAGCCUGAUGUGAAAGCCCGCGGCCCAACCGCGGGACUGCAUUGGGAACUACCGGGCUGGAGUGCCGGAGAGGUAGGCGGAAUUCCUAGUGUAGCGGUGAAAUGCGUAGAUAUUAGGAGGAACACCAGUGGCGAAGGCGGCCUGCUGGACGACAACUGACGGUGAGGCGCGAAAGCGUGGGGAGCAAACAGGAUUAGAUACUAC